UUUAAUUACAAUCGAUAUUAAACAUUCCGCAGUGCAGUAAUUACGUAUAACUUCUACAUUUCCAGGCUUCGAAAUUUACAUCGAACCUUGAAUAAAUGAGUUGACGUAAUUGGCUACGAUCAAGAUGAAUAAACAUGAGCAGUGAUAAUUUUAUGACACGCAAUAUGAGAAAGCUUUACGUACACGACUUUUAGAACAAAAAGUUUUCGUUCGAGCAUACGUAUAUAUACGUGCAAAUUUCCGGAAUAUUGCGUGUACCAGACACGUAUAUCCACUUUAAGCAACGCUGGUGAAUGACCCAAAAACAGCUGACGUCGCCAUUGAAUCGAUAAAACUUAUUGAAUUAUACAGCAAUUCGCGACUUGACAUUCUUCAGCUAAGGAACGAGAAGAUAAAAAUCCAAUGUAUUCUCGGAAUGCUACAGCCAAAGCAAACAAAGAAAUGUAAAACGGUGGCGACAACGCAAUGGUCUCAGUAGCCGUGUUCCUUUCCAGAGAUAAUAAUCAAUCAGCGGACGCAAAUUCGUAACGAGAAACCUAGGUUGCAACACCAGCCCCUAUGACGUUUGCAAAUAUUGACUUUUUUAUAUAUGUUCAACUGCGUGGAGGUGCGCGAUGGAAAUAUGAUUCCAUAACUUUCUCCCGAAGUAUGCCUGAACGUACUUUUUCUUGAAUUACCGGAAUCUAUACAUUAAUAUUCAUAGUGUAUACUGCAAACCACGUUCACUUUUCUAUGGCCAAUCUACCGAUCGACUGUUUUGACCGUGAUCGUAAUAUUUAACAUAGUCAGAUAAAGUCGGAUGACGCUGUCUGAAUAAAAUUAAUGCCCCAGCCACCGUUCAAUUAUCGUGCAGUUUAAUUGAUUUCGUUGAAUUAUAUAGCUCGAUUUCAAUAAUGAAAAAUUGCAAUUAAAUUUUCUACUUGCCAAAUAUAGAAAUACUAGUUGUUCGACAUCUUAAUAAAAUUUCAAAUACAUCGUCAAUAGAUCGUACAUUAUUAUAUGUAUGCAGAUUUAAUUAACUACCAAGAGUAAUCAGUCACCUUUUUUAAUAUUCCUGAUUAUAUGGUACAACAGUGGGAUCAAUCAACUUUUGCGAACAUGACCAGAGUUCACUUGUUGCAUGAAAUAAAAGAAUAAUUUUCCUACAAUUUAUCGAGCUUGGUAAUAGUUGACUUAUGACAGGAUAUUAAUUCCUCGAUCUUUGUUUAGUUGAUAAUCAAAGGGUUGAUACCUUCGAUAACGUUAUUAAGCAUUAGCAAGCAUGAGAUCAUCGAUAUCAUAUAAAUAACGACAUAUUUUCGUUGAAGCUUAUCAAGCUAUUCUUGUCCAUUCGGUCAGACGAGUAUGUACAUAUCUGCACUCGAAGAUGUAAAUUUACUUUUAUACGGAAAGAAUUUUACUUGUUAUUAAUAAAUAAACGAAUGAUCAGUUUCAGGUCAGCGUAAAGAAUUAAGAAUAUGUAGAUACAAAAAAUGAACAAACAGCUCUUGUGCACGCAGUUGUAGAAUGAUACUUGCAAGAUAGGCUUAAUCGGUUGUUGACUAUGUGCACGUGUAUUUGUAAUUCUACAUUUUUCUAUGUUUGGUCAAUGUUUCUUUAUAGACCCACGUUUAAUUAAAAUCAUCUACAUUCAUGUUGA